rnacentral:misc_RNA from 1 species
AAAGUCGUAACAAGGUCUCCGUUGGUGAACCAGCGGAGGGAUCAUUAUUGAGUGUUACAACUCCCAAACCCACUGUGAACCAUACCGACGUUGCUUCGGCGGCGACCGCUCCGGCGGCGCCGCCGGGGGUCAGAAACUCUUGCUCUUAGCGGUCUUCUCUCUGAGUGGCACAAAGCAAAAAUAAAUUAAAACUUUCAACAACGGAUCUCUUGGUUCUG